UCUACUGGAAAAGUAUUUACCUUGUCUCGUAUAAAUUUUUCUUGAAGACAAGUCAUUAUGUUUUAACUAUUUUGCCCAAUAACAUGCAUUCUCUAACAAUUUCACACGGCCACGUUUUCUUUUUCUUUUUCACGAACAACAAUUCAAGCUAGAUCCAUCCAUAGCCGAAGCCAGAUGUUGUUUGCCUUUGUUUGCGAGCGUCUCGUGUGUGUUCUCGUCCACAAGAAGAUUAAAGGUAAAAGCAUUAAAUUUACCUAAGGAAGCUUCGUUCCUCGUUUGUGCGGUGUGCAAAGAUUGCGCGCAAUUCCCGCUGUUCUCGGAGUGCCGAUGAAGUACGAGUCGUUCAAGGAAUCAACGAAAUGUGCGGGCGCUUGAAUGACUCCAUGGCUGACGCCCGUGGCCACCUGCUACACGCCAGUGCGAAAGAAACUAAAGCACUGUGGGGGCUGCAGGGUGGCUUUGCCAGUAGGAAGGGCGGAAAUUCCUGAAGAUGUAUUCAUCCAUGCUGCAUCAGCUGCUUGGUGUUUUCAUGGCAUCUCUGCACAUGUGCUGGGUUGAUCUUAAGCAGAAAACCAGAAGCGGCAGUGGUCUCCAGUAGAGACCCAAGGACCCCAAGCUCUCUGUGACACAAACAGGAGGGGCACUGUGGUGCAUUGAAAACCUGCACCAGUAGUGCAUUACCAGUGCACUAUGCUGCUGUUUCAUCAAGGAGAAAGGAGGUGACCACCCUCAGAGGAACUUCAUGCUCUACAGUAUGCUUUUGAGUGUCACGUGGAGAAGUGUGGAAGGCGUUCCUCCAUGGAAGAGCGGUGACCGGAGCGUGAGCUGAUACCUGGCAGACAAGCUGGAUGUCAUUGCAACUGGUGGCGUAAGGAGAAGACAACAAGAUGCUUGUGUGGUUGUGCGUGCCGGGACUUGAUUGCGUCUUUUCUCAGACUACACUGUUUUUACUUGUACACAUGUAAAAUAAAUAUUGU
rnacentral:lncRNA from 1 species